UGUCAUCAAGCCAGUUUUUAACUGAUUGCCCUCUGUGUGUGUUUGGUUUAGGAGGAGCAAGCCAACACUAAUCUGGGCAAGUUCCGGAAGCUUCAACAUGAGCUGGAUGAGGCUGAGGAGAGAGCCGACAUCGCGGAGUCUCAGGUCAACAAGCUGCGAGCCAAAAGCCGGGAUGUGUCAAAGAAAGGACAUGAUGAAGAGUGAUGCUCUGAGGAGGACUUGGCCUCUCUGAACCCUCCUGUCUGCUGUAAUUUAGACAGGAACCUCACUGUCCCUCUGACAUGGUAGAAUAAAGUCUCCUUGCAACAUGAA